GAUGAACGCUGGCGGCGUGCCUAAUACAUGCAAGUCGAGCGAACAGAUGAGGAGCUUGCUCCUCUGACGUUAGCGGCGGACGGGUGAGUAACACGUGGAUAACCUACCUAUAAGACUGGGAUCACUUCGGGAAACCGGAGCUAAUACCGGAUAAUAUAUUGAACCGCAUGGUUCAAUAGUGAAAGACGGUUUUGCUGUCACUUAUAGAUGGAUCCGCGCCGCAUUAGCUAGUUGGUAAGGUAACGGCUUACAAGGCAACGAUGCGUAGCCGACCUGAGAGGGUGAUCGGCCACACUGGAAGGGAGACACGGUCCAGACGCCUACGGGAGGCAGCAGUAGGGAAUCGUCCGCAAUGGGCGAAAGCCUGACGGAGCAGCGCCGCGUGAGUGAUGAAGGUCUUCGGAGCGUAAAACUCUGUUAUUAGGGAAGAACAAAUGUGUAAGUAACUAUGCACGUCUUGACGGUACCGAAUCAGAAAGCCACGGCUAACUACGUG
rnacentral:rRNA from 1 species